GAGGAAAAGAAACUAACAAGGAUCCCCUAGUAACUGCGAGUGAAGAGGGAAAAGCUCAAAUUUUGAAUCUGGCGGUCGUCUGGCCGUCCGAGUUGUAAUCUAGAGAAGCGUCUUCCGCGUCGGACCCGUGUACAAGUCUCCUGGAAGGGAGCGUCAUAGAGGGUGAGAAUCCCGUCUUUGACACGGACAAACCGAGGCUAUGUGAUGCGCUCUCGACGAGUCGAGUUGUUUGGGAAUGCAGCUCAAAACGGGUGGUAAAUUCCAUCUAAAGCUAAAUACAGGCGAGAGACCGAUAGCGAACAAGUACCGUGAGGGAAAGAUGAAAAGAACUUUGGAAAGAGAGUUAAAUAGUAUGUGAAAUUGCUGGAAGGGAAACGUUUGAUGUCAGUCGCGUCGGCUGGGGGUCAAUCUGGCUUCAUUGCUGGGUGUAUUUCCUGGUCGACGGGUCAGCGUCAGUUUUCGUCGCUCGUACAAUGGCGGAGGGAAAGUGGCACUCUUUCGGGAGUGUGUUAUAGCCCUUCGUCGUAUGCGGUGGUGGGGACUGAGGAACUCAGCACAGAAAUGUGUUUAGGAUGCUGGCAUAAUGGCCUUAAGCGACCCGUCUUGAAACACGGACCAAGGAGUCUAACAUGCCUGCGAGUGUUUGGGUGGGCAAACUCGAGCGCGAAAUGAAAGUGAACGGUCGAGACCUCUGUCAUGGAGGGCAUCGACGCCCGGACUCGAGUCAUUGAC
rnacentral:rRNA from 1 species